AUCCAGUUUGUCACCUGCUGUGUGAUUCUAGGCAAAUCACUUAGUCUCUGUCUCAUUUUCCUCAUCUGGAAAAUGGGGAUAAUAAUAACAUCUACCUUCUGGAUUUGUUGUGUGGCUCAAAUGAGAUCAUAUUUACCAAGUGCCUGGCUUAUAGGAGCCACAAAUAAAUUCUUGUUCCUUUCUCUUCCCUCAAAGGACUAGAAGCACAUGCCAUGGGCUCGAAAGGUCUCCUAAAAUGGAGUCCAGGGGUAAUUGAACAUUAAAGCAUGGUUGCAUUGUACAAAGUCUGUAGUGUCACCUGGGGGAGUGGUAGAAGAUAAUGCCACUCAUUCUCAUGUUGAGGCUCCAGUUUGUUUGUUACAAAAUCAGCCCCUUCUGAGUCAAACGGAAACAUGGGAAAGAGCUGAAGAUAUGGUGGAGGGAAGGUUUAAAAAGGAGAUGGACGGACAAGGAUGGAAUCCAGUUGAGUACCAUGAAGGCUGAAAGAAAGAUGGCAGAAUAAGAUGUAGGAAAUGAUUCAAGACCCAUUUGUCCUACUUUGGGCUAAGUAAGUAACGAUAGGCCAGACACUUGGAGGCAGGGCCAAACUUUAGCUCAUGGAUUAGGAAACGCACCCUGAGCUCAUGGCACCCAAUUCCCUGAAAUUGACUUAAGAACAAUUUUUCUUCUUCCAGAGGGUUGCCAGCUUCAAGUCUGAGGACAAGUAAAUGACCAUCAGCUUGGGCUAGAGCUUACUGCAGUGGAUCACUUCACUGAAAGGGAUUGUUUCCAGAAGGCCAGAACUUGGCCUGGCGUGGAAGCAAAUGAUCUCAACGACCAUCUUAUUCAGAGAGGAUACCUGGGUGCAUGUACAAGAAUGGAUAAGCUUCUGGCUGGAAGAGAGAACUUGUGGAACAUGAGGAGAAGAGACAGAUAUGCAAAUCUCUCCCCAGGCCAAUAUAUCCAUGUGGCCUAACAGGAAGGCAUGUGUACUGAAGAGCCAGAGGUCACAUUCUCAGGAGUGGUUAUGGACUUCUUUCCCAACACUUAGCAACUGAUUGAAUAUGGGAGAGUCAAAAAAAGAAACUCACCCCGAGGAUGCCAACUAGGAUGAAUGGAAUAAUGAUGCAUGGCAUCUCAUUUGACUUUUAUAACCACAGUCUGAGUGGUGCUUCAGACCUUUGGACAUACCAGUUUGAUGGAACAGUAAAGAACGAGCUGGUCUAAAGUUAACCUGAACCAAAAUUGUCUGAUGACUACUACUUUGUGAUAUUGCUUGAGAUCUGGUAAGGAUGUGCCUUUCUUUUAUACAUGUAUAAGGUAUUUCCAUGGUAACUGGAUUAAUUCAAUAUUAAAGUUGUAAAUCAAUUUAGGCAGCAUCAUUUUAUUAUACAGGCAUAGCCCAACCAUGAACAAUGAGUCUCUCCAAUUAUCUGUUUCUAUUUCUGUAAAUAGUGCUUUGUAGUUGAAUUUUUAAAAAAUCUUAUAUGUGAUCUGACAGAUUAAAUCCAACGUGUUUUAUAUAUUUUAUAGUUAUUUUGAAUGAAAUUUCUCCUACUAUCAUUGAUUCCUGGGUUUUAAAAAAAAUACUGUAUUGAAAUUCUGAUUACUUCUGUGGACUUUUUGUCUUGCUACUUACUAAUGAUAUUAAUCAUCUUAAUUAGUUGCUUUGCUGAUUCUCUAGGUGUUUUCUGGGUAUACUGGCCUAUCAUCUGAAAAUUGCUAUAAUUUUUGCUGCUACUUAUAUACUUGGCUUUAUUAUCUUGCCUUUGUUCUAAAGGUAGUAUAUUUCUAGGCGUAUAAUUUCUUUCUCCCCCUUGCAAAAGCAGACUUCUCACCUUGGAACUUCACUCCAACUCUGUAAACUUCUCACUCUGGAAGAUCUCUCCAGUCUUGCAGUCCCUUUUUCUCAUUGGUCAGUUCCUCCUUAAGGAAAGUAGCUACAUUCACUACUUCAUUUUUCUCCUGGUUUCAGUUCCUGACUUUGAACUUCAUUCUUCACCAAACCCUUCUCACUGCUUCACCUUAGAGCUUUCCUUUUAGGUGCUAUUGUCUCCAACUAGAAUAUACAUUCCUUGAGAGCAGAGCCUAUCUCUUUUUGCUUGUAUUCAUAUUACCAGCACUUAGCAGGAUGCCUGGAAUAUGGUAAACACCUAAUAAAUGCUUGCUGAUUGGCUAUGCUAAAUAAGAGGUAACUCUUACUCCCCUUCUUUUCCAGCAUCUCAGGGUACUUGCAGGCCAUUCUGGAAUGUACUGAAAUUUUUCUCUUCCUUCAAGAUUAAGCUCAGGUACCACUCCCUCCAUGAUGCCUUCCCUCUAAGUUCAACUUGUUUUCUCCCUCUCACCCUCUUCACAUACAACCUGACAUUACAUUGAUCUACAGAUUUGUUAUUUCCCUUCUUCUACUCUCAUUUGAAUGAGAGCUUCCUGAAGGUAGGUACUAUGCCAAUUUUCAUUUUUGUCUCUCUAGUACUCAGUUCAUAAUCUGGCAUGAAGGAAAUGCUUAAUAUAUAUUUGCUGAAUUUCAUUUAUAUUUCAUAAUUUGCUUAAGAGGAUAAAGCACACAGGCCAGAGAGCAAAUGAAGUGGUCCACUUUUAGAAGAAUGACUUGGUCGAUGAAGAAUUUAAGAGUAAGCUGUGACUAUAAUGUGACCAGCUGUUUAUUAAACCUCUAUAUCUUACCCACUCAUCUAUAUGAGUGAUGGCUAUGACUUUCAGAGGCUUCAUAUAUAUCCCCAUCUUUGCCCUUUUCAUUGGGAAUAGCCUUAAGAAGGCAUGCACCAAGUUUCAUUCCUUCAUGGUUGUAUCUUCUUUUGGAACAAACUGAGUCUUUCCCAGAAGCUUGAUCAUUAACUUCAUUCACCACAACUGGCCCUGGAGGACUUUGGACUAUAUCUAGAAAUCAAAUCUGCCCUUAGGGAUCAAGAUUUGCUAAAAUAAGGAGACUCCAAAGGACUCUAAAUACUAUGCUCAAAGGGGAAGGUUUUAAAAGGGACAAUACACAUGUGAUUGUAUAAAUUCAGGUAGAUUUGUUAAAAAGUCAGUCAUUUUCCAAGUUAUAAUGUUCUGACAUUAUUUCCCCAUAGUCUCGGGAUUAUCCUCUGGAAAUGAAUCUCGGCUACUCCAGGGUAAUGUUCCAUUGCUUCACUUAGUGGGUAAAUGGGAAAGAACCAGGCACCACACUGAAAUGUCUUUUUUAAAAAAAAACCUCCCAACAUAUGACCUUUCAUUGAUUUGUCUCAUGGAAAUAGCUCUGCUGACAGGUGAGGAAAUAGAUUCAUAUGUCAGUGUCUUCUCAGGUCCAUUAAACGUUGUUAUUUCAAAGCAUAUUAGACAUCCUAACCAGUGUCAGGCAACAACUUGGGCAAUUCAAUAGGUUGGAGGCUAAUGUAGGCUGUAGAAUGUUCUCUGCAUGUCAGAGAAUUAUAACCUGGGUGCUUAGAUACCUACUGGAUCAAGGCUGCCAAGGAUGGGGGUGGGAUGGGGCUCUGGAGAUGUUGCAAGUUUCAUCUAUUUCCUUAAAUAAGACCAAAGCAAGAAGAUGUUCAUAGAAUUAUGAGAUAAGAGAAUGUCAAGAGUUGGAAAAAAGCUGUCUGCUUAAAUCCUACCCCCCACCCUCGACCCAAUAUAGAAAUCCUCUCCACAGAAUCCCUGACAGCAGCACUAUAUCCAGCAUUAUAAGAGCUAGGUUCUGGUCCUGAUACAAUCACUAACUUUAUGUAUGGCAACAGGAAAAUCAUUUAAUGAUUUCGUGCCUAAAUUUAAUCGUAUGUAAAAAUGUAAACCAUUCAUUCAUUCAACAAAUAUAGCUAUGGCCUGAAAAGAUACAUAGGUAUAUAUGAGGCCCUGUUCUUUAGGGGAUUACAUUCUAAUGGGAGAGGGAGAUAGAAGAACAAAUAACAGAAAACAGUUCUCCAAAGGACAGCAAGAACGGAGAUUUUGGAUGAGAAGGAACUUUAGAUCCAGCCUUGUUAUAGAUGAAGAACCUAAAGCCCAGAGAGGGGAAGUUAUCUUCCAAAGUCAAAGAGAAAGUCAGUAGUGGGACGAGGAUUUGAACCAUGUCUUCUCUCUCCCAAUCCAUUACACCAUGCUGUCUUUAAGCAUAAAGGAGGACAGGAAAAGUGUUUUGAUAAUUCUAUCUACCCUGCAUAUUACUCACAAGGGCAUAGCGAUAUGAAAAUGUAAAAAUGCUUUGAAAUAAAAAAAAAUAUAUCUGAAUGCAGAAUAUAAUUGUCAUCUUUAUUUUGAAAACUCAGGUGAUUAUAGUGUUUACUUAUUGAAACAGAAUCAUCCCUAUUGGGCAAUUAGAUAGCUAUUUAUUUUGUAUACUGGCAUAAAAUUCUUCGGGUGGUAUGUUAAAGGUCUGGAAUGUUAAUUUCUUUUAGGCUUUCAGAACCUGAUUGCCUCUAUCAUUAUCUCUCAGCCUAACCUGGUACCUGUGCUAGGCCACAGGAAUCAUCCCCACUGAUUUGGAGUUGAGUAUGUCCCUGUCCCUACUGCUCGUUGAGGAGGAAAUGCAUAGCAAACAAAUGUCUUCUGGUAUCCCAAGUUUGAACUUAUGAUUCAUUUUGUCAUAAAAACAUUGUUUAGGAUAAAUGUUCUUCAGUUCUUUCACUUCAUUCUAAGGACCUAUUUCAGUGUUUCAGUGUUAUGUGUCUUCUCCCUACCAACACAAUCAACAAGCAUUAUGUGCCAGGCCCAGAUAUAGAUCACAAGUCUUCCCAUCCCACAAACACACUUUCUUGGAAUAGACACCAAUCAAAUAACAAAAUUAAAAUCCAAAGCCUAACAUAUACUAGCUAUGUGACUCUGAGCAAGUCACCACCUCUCAGUGCCCCUCUGGCAACUCUGUAAGAUUAUAUAUUUGACACAAUUGAUAGGAAACCCAAGUUCCUUACACUGAUGAAAUUGUAGGUCCAAAUCUUGACUCUCCUUCAAAUCCCAAUACUAUAAACCUAAGGGCUUCUCUCUAAUAUUGGCAUCAUGCUGUCAAAAUUAAAACAUAUACACCUUUCUUUCUCUAAAUAAACCAUAAAUUUCAGUAGUAGAUCUAUGUAUCAUCUGUCAUAACCACAUUAUUGUGCAGUUUUGUUCAACCACUUAAAAAUUCAUAGAUACUAUGUAAAAAUACUCUUUUUUUAAAAAAAAGUUAAGAUAGAAGAAUAGUAGCAUCAUUAGAAAGACUAAAUUCACUCCUAAGAUGACUAAGAUGUUGAAGAGACAGGCACUGAUUAGAUGUGCAAGUUCUAGAAGCUUUGUUAAACAAUUGGUCCUAUAUACCCUUCUAGCUGCAAAAAGUGGAACCUGAGGCAAUAUGAACAUUUUUGCAACAGGAAGUAUGCUUUCACUGUUAUUGGAUUGAGCAACAGCCAACGGAUGGUGAUGGCUGUUGAAUCAAUACUCAUCUGAAUGAAUUUAAUUGUAAGUGGCACUCCACUGGGGAUAAAGGAGGCUCUGGAAAUCAUUCAAGGUUACUAACUAAAUGAUAAUUUCUAACAAACUCAGAAUCUUGAACUUUUCAACAAGCAAGAUUCAAUAUAAAUGUAAUUAUAGGUGAAACAUUCUGAAUUUCAACCAGUAGGCAAAGAAGAAAAUACAGCAAGAUCUGUGUUGCCUGGCAUAUGACCAAACCAGAAAACUCAAGAAAUCAACCUGUGUGAUGUUCCCUAGCCUCAGUCUUCAGUCUAGUAAUCAGACCCAUUAGAGAACAGUACUGACAUAAUUAGAGGCCUCAGAGAAAUCCCAACUUAACGUUAUCCUUAAAGCCUUCUCCUAACCAGGGUAAGCUAAGACUGACAUUAAAAAAUCAAUAUUAAAAGGUGUACAGAGAAAAAAAGGGGACAGAGAGAAGGAAACAUUCAGAUAUAACAAAGAUUUCUGCAAUAAACAUUGUUUAGAAAUAUAGCAAGUUACUAGUUGUUCUGAAAAAACAACGUGGCAAUUAUGAAAUACUUAUUAAAUAUUUCUGGUAGGAUGGUAAAAUGAAGAAAAGCAGGGGAUGCAGCUAUGUUCAAAUUCCCACAAAACAGAAAUUCUGCCUUCCAAAAAGAAAAAAAAGGAGAGCACUUAAAAUAAAAUUUAUGUCAAAAAAGGAAGGUUACUCUACUAUCUACUGCAGAUAGAGUUAAGCUGUUUUUCUAUUCUAGAAUCCUGAGAUCCAUGUUGGCAUUGUUACUUUCCAAACUCUCUUCAUAUUCUACUUGAUCAAUCAGGCAUGGCUAUAACUUUAGACUACAGCCAACCACUCAGGAGGCCAAAUGCCCACACAUAUAGCACAAGGUUGACUUCCCUCCAUAACAACAAAUUCCAGAAGACACAAAGCCAAAAAGUUAUUGCCAGUUAUAGUUUCCACUCUGGAAGCAGUUAGUUUUGCUCUCAAGUCUAAAAGCUGUAAAUGCCUUAUAGAUCCUGCCUCUAAGGCCAAGAUCUCUAUAGCCACAGAUCCACCUUAUGCUUAGAUCAGUGUUUUUCCCCUCUUCCAUUGAACAUCUACCUCCCCAAAUAGAAAAUAAAAAUAUAGAUAAACUAUCUCAUAAAAAUAAUUCUAUAAUGCAAAAAUGCAGGGAUAAGAUUUCUUUAGAAACACAAGUUAAAGUAUCCAUAGAUAGGAUGGAAGAAAUACCAAGUGAUAAAUUAAACUGGAUUAUGGAUUAAAAUCCCUUAAAUAAGAAUUAAUAUUCUAAACAAACACAUGUAGGAAGAGAUGAUGACAUAAUUGGGGAAAAUGCAAAGUAACAUAUGAAUUAUGAACAUCAAUGGAAGUGACAAAUAACAAAUAAGUAUAAUAAAAUAAUAUGGAAUAACUGUAAGAGCUAAAAUAUUAUAAGCAACACAAAUGGAAAAAGAAACAAUGUAGGACUUCCUGUGAAAUUUCCCCCAAAUGUCUAAAUGGCUCACUUCAACAAAUUAAGCAAGUAUAAUAACACUAGUAUGAAAAAAUCACAAGACCAAAGAAAAGAUGGACUUGAAGAAAUUAUAAAAUAUUUCAAAUCACAGUAGGAAUUAAAAGAUAUUAAAAACUGAUAUAAUGAAGAAAAUGAUCAAAAAGGAAAACAUAAUAGAAAACCUCAAAAAGCCAUCGAUAUAACCAAUGACAGAAUUACUUAAGCAAUUUUUAAAAUGCACAUGAAUUAGUGGGAAAAGAGCAAAGAAGAAUUUGAAGAAUACUAGAGAUUAUUGCAUAGGGUGUGUCUUCCUGCUCAGGGAUGACAUGACCAUUUUGUAACCACUGAAAAAAAGGAAUCAACAGAGUGUCAAAAUUGGAGAUAGAAGAGAGGGAAUAAUUAAUUAAUGGAAAAAUGUCCUGGAACAGAGAGCAGGGGACAGGCUCAAAAGACUCUGUCCUUUACGAGCUUGCAUUCUACUGGAGAGGAAGGAUACGACAUGUACACAGAUACAUCAAUAGAAAGUAGUUUCAAGAGGUGGUGGCUGAGUUGUGUCUGUAGGAACUUAAAAAUUCUAUGAGGCAGAUGUAAGGAGGGAAAAUAUUUCAGAAAUGGGGGAACACCUGUGCAAAGGGACAGAAACAGGAGAGAGGAUGUAAUGCAUGGGAAAUACAAUUAAUGCAAUCUCUCUGAAUCUCCAUUUUAAAAGAAAAAAAUUGCAUAAUCCAAAAAUAAAAUUCACCAAUAUUUUGCAAAAAGGAAACAUAUCUAAGUUUAAAAAAACCUAGAAUAAAACUGAAUUUGGCUUAAAAUAACAUAUCAUGCAAGUAUAAUAAAAGAAUGACACUAAUAAUACUAGUUAAAAAUUUAAACUAGAAACAACCAGAAUGAGACAAUAAUUUAUACAAUAUAUAACAAGUCACAAUUCAAAUACUCUAAGGAAUUCAACAGGUGAAUUAAUAAAGAUUAACUACAAUAAAAAUAUAGACAAAAUAUAUGAGGAAGAUUUCAUUUCAUUAUUAGCAUGUGAAAAAAACUAAUAAAAAGUGUGACAAUAUAAAAAUUACAGUUUUAAACCAUGCUUGUACAGUGCCCAAAAUAGCAGAUAUAUGGAAAAAACUAAUUGUGAGCAGCAGGGAAUGUAUUUUCUUUUUAAGUAUUCAUGGGAUGACAUUCGCUGUAUAAAUUCCAAAAGGCAGGAAUCAUAUGUGGUACAUUUUAGGCCACAAUGCAAUAAAAAAUUGAGUUAAACAAUAGCAAAUGAAAGAUGGAAAAUGUAAAACAAACAAUUGAGUUUGAGGGUAAUACUUAAAAGGAAAUGAAAAUGAUAAUGCCACAUAUCAAAAUCUAUAGCAUAUAGACAAGGCAGUUUUUAGAGACAAAUUUAUUUCACUAAAUGAUUACGUUAAUGAGGAAAAAGUAAAACAAAUCAAAGAAGUCUAAUCUCACAGAGCAUUAGAAAAAAACAAAGAAACAGCUCAAAGUACAGAACAAAAGAUGAUAAAGUUAAGAACAAAAUGUAUAAAAUGGAAAAUGAAAAAACACCUAAAUUUGUAAAUGAAACCAACAACUUUUUAAAGAGACUAAUAAUAUUGAAAAUCCAUUUGAAACUUGAUUAUGAAAAAGGAGAUAAAAUAGACAAAAAUAUAAAUGAAAUAGGAAAUAUCAUAAACAAAAUAGAAAUUAAUAAUUUCAUUAGGGAUAUUACACAUUCAUAGAUUAACAAAGACUUUAAAUGGAAUUGAUGAUUACAAAAUGUAAAUUUCCAAAGGUGAAGAAAAAUAAUAGGUUAAAUAGAACAAUAUCAAAAGAAUAAAAUAAAUCAUAAAUGAGUUAGUCCACCAAAAAGCAGGAAAAAACAAACAAAAAAAAUUGGUCCAGAUAGGUUCAUUCACAAAUGAAUUCUCUAAAGCCCUCCAGUGACAAAUCAUUCCUAAAUUAAAUUGAUUCUUCAUCUUUAUAGAGAAAGAUGAAUAGGAUGAUUCUCCAAUAUCUUUUAUGAGAGAUAUACCAUUAACUUUAAAUGCUGGAAAAAGAUAGCACUACAAAAUUAUAUACAUUUCCCUAUUGAUGCAAAAACAAUAAAAAGUAUUACCUAACAGAAAAUAUAAAAAUUCUUCAAAAUCAAGGAUUUAUAAUAGGUAUAUAUGACUUGUUCAACAUCAAAAGUAUAUAUUUUACAACUUUUUUUAGAAAGCUAAAGAAUAUUGCUUUUUUCAAUAGAUAAUGGAAGAAAACUUUGAAAAAAUCCAACAUCCAUUCAUAUUUUUUUCAUUGUGGGGUGGGGAGAAAGAGAACAGAAAUAGAGAGAUUUUCUCCUAAACACACCUAAAAGUAUCUACCUCAAACCAAAGAUAUAUACCAUAGAGAAACAAUGGAAGUAUUCCCACUCCAAGCAGGUACAGAACAAGGAAGUUCAUUUUCACUACUUCCAGUUGACCUAGUAAUAAAAAAUUCUUUCAAUUGCAACUACAAGAAAAAGAUGUGAGAAAUAUUAACUUUGGAAACAAUCAGGUCAGAAUAUCAAUUAUGGAUAAUAAAAUAGUUUAUCUAGAAAAUCAAGUUAUCUUUACAAAAAAGAGUGAGAUAAAAAUGUGUUUAGUAAGGCUGUAUGACACACUAUUAACCUUAUCCUAAAUAAGUAAUGUUUUUAUUUUUUAGCAGUAAUGAUCAAGGAAUCAUAAAAAAGAUACUGCUUAUAAUAAUCACAAAGCCAAGAAAUAUUUGGGAAUUAAUUUUUCCAGAAAUACAGAUAAACUUUAAAAAGGCAACUUCAAAACUACAAAUGGCUAAAAUAAAGGGAAAUGUAAAUAACUAGAGGGGUGUUCACUCUUUAUGCAUUAGUGCUUAAUAUGGUAAAAGUGAAAAUAACCAAAUGAAUUUAAAUCAAUAAUGAAAAGUUCAAGGAUUUUCUUUGAAGAAUUAUUUAAAAAUCAUGAUGCAAUUCAAUUCAUAUGGACAAAACAAAUUGGCAAAAAAAAUAAAAUAAGACUUUUUUACUGAAUUCCAGAUGGUAAAACCUAUUUUGAGGUAGUUGGCAUCAAAAUUACAUGAUAUUGAGGAACAACAGGUUUAAAAAGCCCAAUAUUUAAUAACUUGGUCUCCCAGUUGUCUUCUUCUCAUGUCCAUCCUUAACUCUUAUGUUCAUGCACCAGACUCCAUUUAGGUUCUGUUCUCCCUUCUUCCUAGUUAAGAGAUGCACCACCUUUACAAUUUGCAUUUCUAGUACUAUAAUCAAAUAAUUCCUAACCCAUAAAUUUUGUAUGUAACAAUAAGCUGUAAAUUCAAUUAACCAUUCCGCUUAGCUUUUCAACGUCCCCAGCUUUUACUGUAUGCAUUCUAAUCUAAAGCAUCAUUUUGUGUUUCUAAACACACACACACACACACACACACACACACUCAAACACCCACAUGCAAAACACAAAUUGCUGACAACUCUAUUGGUCAGGCUGAUCAAUACAAAAUGUGUUAUUAAACAGCAUAGAUCCUAAGAAGUGCUUGCUGCUAGUAUGUGGAACAGGUCACUGUGAAGGACAAAUGCUAAAAAAUUUCUCCUAAUCUCAUUUGGAAUUAUCAGAAACUUAAUAUUGGAUUUCAGAUCAUUUGACCAUCUGACGGGUCUCUGAAGAACACAAUUUGUGGUUUGAGUGUAAGCAGAAUAUUCCAUUCUUCUAAUUUAAUAUUGAAAGAAUGGUGGUUAAGAAUAAAAGUCAUUAAAUUAAGUUAUAUUGAACCAGAUUCUCAUAGGGUUGAAAUUCUUCCCUGACUAGAAAAGUGGAAAAGUUAGUUUUGAGGAAAUGAGACUCAUUUGAUUUGUAAGUGAGUUCUUGACUCCUCUUACUAUGAUUUAGAAUCCCAAAAGUUAGAAGGGGCUUUAGAGACCUUUUGAUUCUGAUAUUCUUAAACUUUUCUGUGCUUGGAUGGAUGCCUUUGGCAACAUGGUGAAACCAAUAGACCUAUUCUUAAAAUAACGUUUGUGGGUGUAUAAAAUUAAAUACAUGUUACAAAGGAAACUAAUUAUAUUGAAUUACAAUCACUGAAAUCUUUUUUUUUAAGUUUAUAAAUCUCAGAUUAAGAAACCCUGCUCUAGUUCAACCCCUUUUGGGAAAUAGGAAUCCCCUCUAUGACAUCUCAACAUAUGAGUUUAUCCAGCAUCUGCUUCAAUG